CGGGUUGUAAAGCCCUGUGGGGAGGGAAGAAUGAACCAGGGUGAACAAUCCUGGCGAUGACGGUACCUCCUUAGCAAGCACCGGCUAACUCUGUGC
rnacentral:rRNA from 1 species